rnacentral:rRNA from 1 species
UACGAAGGGGCUAGCGUUGCUCGGAAUUACUGGGCGUAAAGCGCACGUAGGCGGGUCGUUAAGUCGGGGGUGAAAUCCUGGAGCUCAACUCCAGAACUGCCCUCGAAACUGGCGAUCUUGAGUUCGGGAGAGGUGAGUGGAACUGCGAGUGUAGAGGUGAAAUUCGUAGAUAUUCGCAAGAACACCUGUGGCGAAAGCGGCUCACUGGACCACAACUGACGCUGAGGCGCGAAAGCUAGGGGAGCAAACAGGG